GGAUAACUGUGGUAAUUCUAGAGCUAAUACAUGCAAACCAGAGUUCCGACCAGAGAUGGAAGGAACGCUUUUAUUAGAUCAAAACCAAUCGGUGGCGGGCUUUGCUCGUCCACCGUUUACUUUGGUGACUCUGAAUAACUUUGUGCUGAUCGCACGGUCUCGUACCGGCGACGCAUCUUUCAAAUGUCUGCCUUAUCAACUGUCGAUGGUAGGUUCUGCGCCUACCAUGGUUGUAACGGGUAACGGGGAAUCAGGGUUCGAUUCCGGAGAGGGAGCCUGAGAAACGGCUACCACAUCCAAGGAAGGCAGCAGGCGCGCAAAUUACCCACUCCCGGCACGGGGAGGUAGUGACGAAAAAUAACGAUACGGGACUCAUCCGAGGCCCCGUAAUCGGAAUGAGUACACUUUAAAUCCUUUAACGAGGAUCAAUUGGAGGGCAAGUCUGGUGCCAGCAGCCGCGGUAAUUCCAGCUCCAAUAGCGUAUAUUAAAGUUGUUGCGGUUAAAAAGCUCGUAGUUGAAUCUGUGUCGCACGCUGUCGGUUCGCCGCUCGCGGUGUUUAACUGACAUGCUCGUGAGACGUCCUACCGGUGGGCUUAGCUCCUUCGGGGGCGGUCCAACUAAUAUCCCAUCGCGGUGCUCUUUAUUGAGUGUCGAGGUGGGCCGGUACGUUUACUUUGAACAAAUUAGAGUGCUUAAAGCAGGCUAUCAUUUGCCUGAAUAUUCUGUGCAUGGAAUAAUGGAAUAGGCCCUCGGUUCUAUUUUGUUGGUUUUAAGAAACCCGAGGUAAUGAUUAAUAGGGACAGAUGGGGGCAUUCGUAUUGCGACGUUAGAGGUGAAAUUCUUGGAUCGUCGCAAGACGGACAGAAGCGAAAGCAUUUGCCAAAAAUGUUUUCAUUAAUCAAGAACGAAAGUUAGAGGUUCGAAGGCGAUCAGAUACCGCCCUAGUUCUAACCAUAAACGAUGCCAGCUAGCGAUCCGCCGAAGUUCCUCCGAUGACUCGGCGGGCAGCUUCCGGGAAACCAAAGCUUUUGGGUUCCGGGGGAAGUAUGGUUGCAAAGCUGAAACUUAAAGGAAUUGACGGAAGGGCACCACCAGGAGUGGAGCCUGCGGCUUAAUUUGACUCAACACGGGAAACCUCACCAGGCCCGGACACCGGAAGGAUUGACAGAUUGAGAGCUCUUUCUUGAUUCGGUGGGUGGUGGUGCAUGGCCGUUCUUAGUUGGUGGAGCGAUUUGUCUGGUUAAUUCCGAUAACGAACGAGACUCUAGCCUGCUAAAUAGGCGUACCUUAUGGUAUCUUGAAGGCCCCCGG
rnacentral:rRNA from 1 species